AGACGAACCGUCCAAACGUUAUUCGGUAUCACUGGGCUUAAAGCGUGCGUAGGCGGCUUGGUAGGUGAGAUGUGAAAGCCCACGGCUCAACCGUGGAAUUGCGUUUCAAACCCCCAAGCUCGAGGAAGAUAGGGGUGAUGGGAACUUAUGGUGGAGCGGUGAAAUGCGUUGAUAUCAUAGGGAACACCAGUGGCGAAGGCGCUCUGCUGGGCCAUCACUGACGCUCAUGGACGAAAGCCAGGGGAGCGAAAGGGAUUAGAUACCCCUGUAGUCCUGGCCGUAAACGAUGAACACUAGGUGUCGGGGAAUCGACCCCUCGGUGUCGUAGCCAACGCGUUAAGUGUUCCGCCUGGGGAGUACGCACGCAAGUGUGAAACUCAAAGGAAUUGACGGGGCCCGCACAAGCGGUGGAGCAUGUGGUUUAAUUCGAAGCAACGUGCAGAACCUUACCAACCCUUGACAUCCUAGGACAACUCCAGAGAUGGGANCCUUCCUUCGGGACCUAGUGACAGGUGCUGCA
rnacentral:rRNA from 1 species